AUUGAACGCUGGCGGCAUGCUUUACACAUGCAAGUCGAGCGGUAACAGGCCGCAAGGUGCUGACGAGUGGCGAACGGGUGAGUAAUGCAUCGGAACGUGCCCAGUCGUGGGGGAUAACGCAGCGAAAGCUGCGCUAAUACCGCAUACGAUCUAUGGAUGAAAGCGGGGGACCGUAAGGCCUCGCGCGAUUGGAGCGGCCGAUGUCAGAUUAGGUAGUUGGUGGGGUAAAGGCUCACCAAGCCAACGAUCUGUAGCUGGUCUGAGAGGACGACCAGCCACACUGGGACUGAGACACGGCCCAGACUCCUACAGGAGGCAGCAGUGGGGAAUUUUGGACAAUGGGCGCAAGCCUGAUCCAGCAAUGCCGCGUGCAGGAAGAAGGCCUUCGGGUUGUAAACUGCUUUUGUACGGAACGAAACGGUCCUGGUUAAUACCUGGGGCUAAUGACGGUACCGUAAGAAUAAGCACCGGCUAACUACGUGCCAGCCGCCGCCGUAAGAC
rnacentral:rRNA from 1 species